AGUCGAACGGUAGUUUCUCCUUCGGGAGAAAUGAGAGUGGCGAAAGGGUGAGUAACGCGUGAGCAACUGCCUCGAGGUCGGGGAUAGCCCUGCGAAAGUGGGAUUAAUACCGGAUGUGGCGUUCUGCUUUAUGGCAGAAUUGCUAAAGUUUUUCGCCUCGAGAUGGGCUCGCGUCCUAUUAGCUUGUUGGUGAGGUAACGGCUCACCAAGGCAACGACAGGUAGGUGGUCUGAGAGGACGAUCACCCACACUGGGACUGAGACACUGCCCAGACUCCUACGGGAGGCUGCAGUCGAGAAUCUUCCGCAAUGCGCGAAAGCGUGACGGAGCAAUGCCGCGUGAGGGAUGAAGGCUUUCGGGUCGUAAACCUCUGUCACCCGGAACGAAGAUCUGACGGUACCGGGAGAGGAAGCCACGGCUAACUACGUGCCAGCAGCCGCGGUAAUACGUAGGUGGCAAGCGUUAUUCGGAUUUAUUGGGCGUAAAGGGUCCGUAGGGGGUUUGUUAAGUUUGAUGUGAAAUCCCGAGGCUCAACCUCGGAACUGCAUUGGAUACUGAUAAACUAGAGCAUCGGAGAGGUGAGUGGAAUUCCUGGUGUAGCGGUGGAAUGCGUAGAUAUCAGGAGAAACACCGAUGGCGAAGGCAGCUCACUGGACGAUUGCUGACCCUGAGGGACGAAAGCUAGGGUAGCGAACAGGAUUAGAUACCCUGGUAGUCCUAGCCGUAAACGUUGUACACUAGGUGUGGGGGGAGUUGACCCCCUCCGCGCCCACGCUAACGCGAUAAGUGUACCGCCUGGGGAGUACGACGGCAACGUUAAAACUCAAAGGAAUUGACGGGGGCCCGCACAAGCGGUGGAGCAUGUGGCUUAAUUC
rnacentral:rRNA from 1 species